CCCCCUACAAGUGAGCAUCUGGAAAGUUAAAACAGGCUCCUCUGGUAGAGGAGAGCAGCUUGAUUAGUUUUAUGGCAGCAAAAGUGGGUUAAUCGUGAAAACUGCUUCUUAUGCUGUCAUGGUUCAGAUAAACGGGUUUAGCACAGCAAGCAGCCAAAGGGCACGCAUUAGCGGUUCGUUCUGCAGCAAAGGGAGAGAGCAUGCUCAGAGGACACCCCUCGGAGGCAUCAGCCUGCUGCCUCUGAAGCUGGUGGCAGACUUCCCACUGACUUCAGUGGAGCUGAGAUUGUGCUGUAAAUAAAUAUAUCUGCUUCCAAAGGGUACAAGAGACAGAUCAAACAGGAAUGAGCUUUUCUUGUAUCUAGUAAGAUCUUUUCCUCUAUUUCCUCCAUGGAUUUCAACAGUAUUAAAGUUUCAUUAAAAAGAAAAUGAUUUGAAAAUUGCAUUUACCUAGAGCCUGUGACCGUAUUGCCACAUUCAAAGCACACAUAUUCUCAGCACCUAUUGGAGCUAAAGCUAGCUGUACUGCAGUUUUGGCAUGUAUAGCACUCGAGUUCUGCAAUACCUGCUCUGGCUCCACCUGUGUGUGCUAGCACCAAACCCAAAGCACCAACAACGGGUGGCUGCCUGGUGGCUGUCUCAGUUCCUACAGGAAAACUCUGUGCAUUGGAUGCAUAAGGAUAGUUUUGUAAGUCUGAAUGCAGGACUUAGACUAUGUUGCACAGUCAGCUGUAGCCUGAUUUGUUUACGCAGCUUUGUUGCAGCAGUAAAAAGGCAUAACAGGUAAAGGGGAGAAAUGAGGAUCACCUACCAGGCAGCAGGAAAAAGUGCAAGAAGACCAGAAUGCCUACACAGGAGUUCACUCUGCCAAGCACAGAUUUGCCAAACAGAGAGGAACAGAAGAGGAUCUAACGAGGACCUAGCUCAACCCUUCUCACUGUGCCCUGUUAGUUCAGUGGCACUAAGCCAUGAGACGCAGCUGAUGUCUGGCUUUGUCCCCUGCACAAGCACAACCGACCUUGCCCAGGAGCUAAUCCUGCCCAGUGCCCCCAUGCCCAGGAGCUAAUCCUGCCCAGUGCCCCCAGGCAGGCAAGCCCUUCGCAGCAGGGCAAGACCAAAAAGUCAGUGGGAGAAGGAGGCAGCUUGUAAAAGUUACACUUCAGACUUGUUGGGAUCUGCCUUCACUUUUACUGCAAAUGAAAUAGUUACACUUUUGUACUUUGGCAAUAGCUGAUCUAUCAGACUAUCAAAAAAACUUGAAAUUAUGGUAUCAGAAAAGCAAAGCUAGAGAGAAAUUUUAAAUUUCCUCCAUUAUCAGUAUUUCUUGGGAUCUGGCUAAUUUUAAUUCCUUCCCCUUCCCCACCCACACAAUGUCUUAUUUCAGUCCGUUGGAUAUUGAGCAGUGUGGUACUCCCACGAAGAAAGGGGAGGUACCAGGCUCUUACAUUUGCUGCAAAGCUGUCAGUAGUGGCUCUGUGUUUUACUUGCCUGUCAUAUUAUCUGCAGCUCAUGCUUUGGAUUUCUUUUUCCCUCUUUGUUCCUAAAUGCUGCAAGUAUAAACCAGUUUUCUGUAACCUUACAGUCACUCCCUCAUUUACAAAGCAGGCACCAACACAUCUCUCAGAUCUGUCUGCAGCAUCCAAGGAAAAAUCAAUUCCAGACAUAUUGUAUCAAUUUCAACACUUUGUAGGAACUGGCCGAGUUCAAAUCUCUUCGCUCUGUAUGUCUUGAAUCAAAUUUGCCUUUCUUUUGUGUAGAUACAAAUGCAGAAUAAUCAUCCUUACUUUGAGGGAGUUUAAUUCAAGUGUGCAUCUGUCUAAAGAAAUUAAAUAAAUAUGUUGCUCCACAUUUGCA
ensembl:lncRNA